rnacentral:rRNA from 1 species
CUAAGAAUAUUCCGCAAUGGGGGGAACCCCGACGGAGCGACGCCGCGUGGACGACGAAGGCCGGAAGGUUGUAAAGUCCUUUUUUCCGCGAGGAAUAAGGCCGGGAGGGAAUGCCCGGCCGGUGACGGUAGCGGAGGAAUAAGCACCGGCUAAUUACGUGCCAGCAGCCGCGGUAACACGUAAGGUGCGAGCGUUGUUCGGAAUCAUUGGGCGUAAAGGGCAUGCAGGCGGCCGUGCAAGCCCGGCGUGAAAUGGCGGGGCCCAACCCCGUCACUGCGCUGGGAACUGCAUGGCUAGGGUCGCCGAGGGGCAGCCGGAAUUCCAGGUGUAGGGGUGAAAUCUGUAGAUAUCUGGAAGAACACCGAUGGCGAAGGCAGGCUGCCAGCGGACGACCGACGCUGAGGUGCGAAGGCGCGGGGAGCGAACA